AGGUCCCUUCCAACUCUAAGGAUUCCACGAUUCUGUGAUUCUAUGAUUCUAUAUAUCUUGAAUACGAUAUUGAAUGCACAUUGAAUGUCAUAUGCACACCUGCCUUAUCAAAUACAGUCCCUUUCAGCCUUCCAAAUCCUCAAGCUCAUUUUUGGUGCUCUACAGGAGUUAAAUUCUAAAAUGCAGCAGCAUCUUAUGAUAACUGAGUAUACUACAAGCUUCCCUGCUUGCAUUCUGCAAUACAUUCAUGUGGAGUUGGGACUAGCCUCCAGUUUCAAAGAGCAAGGCUCUACAUAAUUGUGUAGCCAUUAGUUUCAUAAGAUAUUACCGUUAGUGGUUUCAGCCAUUAGACAAAGUCAGAUUUCAGUGGACUGUUUCCAUGUGACUAUGAUCUCUUUGUAGAGCAGAAAGGAGCUGAAAAACAAAACAAAACAAAAGAACGUGCUUUCAACACACUUCGGUUUGCCUUAGGCAAAGCUGAUGCAACCAUUUCAUCAUGAUCCUUGAGGUACAUACUGUGUUUCUGAGUGGGGAAGUGAGCCAAAGGCGCUUAGUAAGUGAAAGAUAACUGUGGUUUCCCAAGGAUCCCAUUGCUACCCUGUGGACUGGGCUUGGCAGAACACAUAAAAGUAUCUGAGGGUGAUCCAGUGAUGGCAGAGCCAGCCUGUUUCCUUCUGCAUGCCAAGACUGUGCAAUCCCCUGGUGACCGCACCUUCCUGAUUCCGCUGCUGGUCGUGCAACACAUCUCAGCUGAGGUCACCCUGAGUCAAACUUUGGCUUCCCUCAUGGUGCAGGAUCUGUGUAGUACUCAGUGGACUCUUACUGUACUUCUCUUUUUCCAGUCACUGAAUGACGUCCACAGUAAAACACUCAGUCCGUCAUUUUAUUUUUUAUUUUUUAACUUGUAAGUAAGGCUCAUGAUGUGCUCUGUAGUAAAUAAUUAUUUUCUGUAAAUGCUUUUCUUUUAACAGAGCCUAUUAAUGAUAUAUUUGUUUGAAAUGCUAUUAUGCAAAAUGUAAUGUUUUGUGUAAAAAGUUAAAUUGUUAUCAGGAACUUGUUUUAUCAUUUCGCAUGGAAACAUUGAAAAAAAAUCAUAUAUAGGUGCUUAGAAAUGUUUUCUAAAACAUGUAGGUCUUUCUGUAGAAUAAUUAACAUGACAUUUCUAUGAGAUUUUCUCAGGGAAAAGAAAUCAAAAUAUUAUGACUUAGUAUCUCAUUGUAUAAAAGGCCAAAAAGCCAUAGAGUUCGAAGAAGUUAUUUAAUUUUGAUUUUGUUUGUGUAUGUUUGUACGUGCAAAGUCAUCUGUCCAGACUUAUUUGCAGGAAAAGAUGCUUGGAAGUCUUCUGAUGAUUGGUCCAAGUUUGGUGAUUGGCUGAAAAAUUGAGAUGCCGGAAAAAUAAACAGAAUCACAGAAUUGCAGGGUUUGGAAAGGACCUCAGGAGAUCAAUGAGUCUAACUCCCUUGCUAAAGCAGAAACCCUACAACAGGUCACGCAGGUCACUGAUGAAGAUGUUGAACAAGACCAGACCCAGCACCAACCUCUGGGGAACACCACUUGUUAUAGGCCUGCGGGACAAAGACAUUAUGAACAGAAGACCUUGCAAAUGAGUAAACAAGCUUGGUAGCUACUUGCGCCAGACGUAAACACACACGAGGCAUCUGGCUGGUACAUGUGACCAGGAGGUCGUUAUGCAGGUAUAAAAGGUUGUGAGCACAUAGAAUAAACGUCAUCGUUCUGCACCAGCAAUGGAGUUUGUUUGGAGGACUCGCCUGCCACACAGGCCUCCAAUCAGACUCUGCACCACUGAUGACAAUCGACUGAGCUCUGCCAGUCAGCCAGUUCUCAGUCCACCUCACCGUCCACUCAUCUAUCCAACACUUUCUAAGUUUCAUAAAAAAGAUGUUGUGGGAGACAGUGUCAAAUGCCUUGCUGAAAUCAAGGUACACAACAUCCACUACUCUCCUCCCAUCUAUUCAGCCAGUGAUGGAAGGCUACCAGGUUGAUCAAGCAUGAUUUCCCCUUGGUGAAUCCAUGCUUACUACUCCUGAUAACCUUCUUCUUUUCCAGUUGCUUGUAGAGGGUAUUCAGGACAAGUUGUUCCAUUACCUUUCCAGGGAUGGAGGUGAGUCUGACUGGCCUGUGGUUUCCCAGAUCCUCCUUCUUACCCUUUUUGAAGACUUGAGUGACACUGGCUAUCAGCAGAGAUAUUCUGCUGCCUUAAGAACACAGAAGUGCAAGACAUUGGCAAGACAAUACUGUGAAGAGGCCAAACUAAUUAGAGACCAAGCUAGUUGACUUACUGGGAGAGCAAAUCUCUUUCUUAAUCUGUUAGGAGUAGCUAUAUUGAAAGUUGCUAGGUUUAGGUAUGUGGUGAGAAGGUUAUGGGAGACAUAACUGAAUCAUAUCCAAAGAGCUCCUGUCUCAAAGGAGUCAGUUGUUGUGGAAACUUCUUAGUUUGGAAUCUGUACCCACUCUGCUGCAAUGGGAAGGAAGGGUUGGACUUGGCCUGGCAUUUCUUACUGGCAGUUCACAUGUUUCAAAUGUCAGUUCCAGUGAAUAACAUUUUUUGGCAUUUAAUUUGUAUGUAUGUGUUGGCAGAUAAGUUGGUAUUUGCAAGGCUGAUGUAUCGUAAUCGUAAACAGAUUUCACGCCCAGGGGAAAGGGGCUGAAAAUAGUCUUGAGGUGAUAUAAAACACUUCUCUGAUACCCCUCUCCCACUAGUACUUUCUCUUUGCCUGCAUGUUGGAAACUGCUUCAAGGGUAAAUGCUUUCUGGGUACAGUGCCUGGGCAAGAUGUACUUCAAGUGAAUUUUCAAAGUAUCUUCCAUAUCUUAUACGUUGGCUUUCCUGCAGUAAAUAGCUCAGAUGCUAACUUACAGUUGUUGUCAAUUUUUUGACUUUCUAAUAAGUAAUGUUCACUGGAGAGGCAUUUAUUUCUCUUUCUGUCUGCACGAAUAAAACAAAAAUUCAUUCAGCUCUUCAGAGAAUGUCAAGCUUUUUUACCACUUAGGCAAGUACUUAAUCAAUUGUCCACUGCAUCCAUUCCCUUUGGUGUAUGUUAUCCAUGUCGUGUUUUUAUUUAAUUCUAUUUUUUUUUUCUCUAUUGGAUGAUUUCAAGUUAACAACCCAUAAUAUUUACCUGAAGUAAUGAUUUAUUUAAAGUGUAUGAAAGAAAAUAUGGUAGCAACAUGAUCUUGGGACACUUAUACAUCUUCAUCUUUUCAUAUUUUCCAGUACCGGUUUUACUAUGUGUGAUAAAUUUGCCUUUGCUUAUAUUGCAGAGCUGCCCUGAAGUAUCUAAAGGAACAGUGUGGUGCAAAGAAAUUAGAGACUCUUUGUUUUUGAUGGGAUGGUGUUGCUGU